rnacentral:rRNA from 1 species
UACGGGGGGAGCAAGCGUUGUUCGGAUUUACUGGGCGUAAAGGGCGCGUAGGCGGCCACCGCAAGUCGACUGUGAAAUCUCCGGGCUUAACCCGGAAAGGUCAGCCGAUACUGCGGGGCUAGAGUGCAGAAGGGGCAACUGGAAUUCUCGGUGUAGCGGUGAAAUGCGUAGAUAUCGAGAGGAACACCUGCGGCGAAGGCGGCUCACUGGUCCGGUACUGACGCUGAGGUGCGAAAGCGUGGGGAGCAAACCGG